rnacentral:rRNA from 1 species
UUAAGUUAGAAAGGGCGCACGGUGGAUGCCUUGACACUAGGAGUCGAUGAAGGACGGGACUAACGCCGAUAUGCUUCGGGGAGCUGUAAGUAAGCUUUGAUCCGAAGAUUUCCGAAUGGGGAAACCCACCAUACGUAAUGGUAUGGUAUCCUUAUCUGAAUACAUAGGAUAAGGAAGACAGACCCAGGGAACUGAAACAUCUAAGUACCUGGAGGAAGAGAAAGCAAAUGCGAUUUCCUGAGUAGCGGCGAGCGAAACGGAACAUAGCCCAAACCAAGAGGCUUGCCUCUUGGGGUUGUAGGACAUUCUAUACGGAGUUACAAAGGAACGAGGUAGACGAAGCGACCUGGAAAGGUCCGUCGUAGAGGGUAACAACCCCGUAGUCGAAACUUCGUUCUCUCUUGAAUGUAUCCUGAGUACGGCGGAACACGUGAAAUUCCGUCGGAAUCUGGGAGGACCAUCUCCCAAGGCUAAAUACUCCCUAGUGAUCGAUAGUGAACCAGUACCGUGAGGGAAAGGUGAAAAGCACCCCGGAAGGGGAGUGAAAGAGAUCCUGAAACCGUGUGCCUACAAAUAGUCAGAGCCCGUUAACGGGUGAUGGCGUGCCUUUUGUAGAAUGAACCGGCGAGUUACGAUCCCGUGCGAGGUUAAGCUGAAGAGGCGGAGCCGCAGCGAAAGCGAGUCUGAAUAGGGCGUUUAGUACGUGGUCGUAGACCCGAAACCAGGUGAUCUACCCAUGUCCAGGGUGAAGUUCAGGUAACACUGAAUGGAGGCCCGAACCCACGCACGUUGAAAAGUGCGGGGAUGAGGUGUGGGUAGCGGAGAAAUUCCAAUCGAACCUGGAGAUAGCUGGUUCUCCCCGAAAUAGCUUUAGGGCUAGCCUUAAGUGUAAGAGUCUUGGAGGUAGAGCACUGAUUGGACUAGGGGUCCUCAUCGGAUUACCGAAUUCAGUCAAACUCCGAAUGCCAAUGACUUAUCCUUAGGAGUCAGACUGCGAGUGAUAAGAUCCGUAGUCAAAGGGAAACAGCCCAGACCGCCAGCUAAGGUCCCAAAGUGUGUAUUAAGUGGAAAAGGAUGUGGAGUUGCUUAGACAACUAGGAUGUUGGCUUAGAAGCAGCCACCAUUUAAAGAGUGCGUAAUAGCUCACUAGUCGAGUGACUCUGCGCCGAAAAUGUACCGGGGCUAAAUACACCACCGAAGCUGCGGAUUGAUACCAAUGGUAUCAGUGGUAGGGGAGCGUUCUAAGGACAGUGAAGUCAGACCGGAAGGACUGGUGGAGUGCUUAGAAGUGAGAAUGCCGGUAUGAGUAGCGAAAGACGGGUGAGAAUCCCGUCCACCGAAUGCCUAAGGUUUCCUGAGGAAGGCUCGUCCGCUCAGGGUUAGUCAGGACCUAAGCCGAGGCCGACAGGCGUAGGCGAUGGACAACAGGUUGAUAUUCCUGUACCACCUCUUUAUCGUUUGAGCAAUGGAGGGACGCAGAAGGAUAGAAGAAGCGUGCGAUUGGUUGUGCACGUCCAAGCAGUUAGGCUGAUAAGUAGGCAAAUCCGCUUAUCGUGAAGGCUGAGCUGUGAUGGGGAAGCUCCUUAUGGAGCGAAGUCUUUGAUUCCCCGCUGCCAAGAAAAGCUUCUAGCGAGAUAAAAGGUGCCUGUACCGCAAACCGACACAGGUAGGCGAGGAGAGAAUCCUAAGGUGUGCGAGAGAACUCUGGUUAAGGAACUCGGCAAAAUGACCCCGUAACUUCGGGAGAAGGGGUGCUUUCUUAACGGAAAGCCGCAGUGAAUAGGCCCAAGCGACUGUUUAGCAAAAACACAGCUCUCUGCGAAGCCGUAAGGCGAAGUAUAGGGGGUGACACCUGCCCGGUGCUGGAAGGUUAAGGAGAGGGGUUAGCGUAAGCGAAGCUCUGAACUGAAGCCCCAGUAAACGGCGGCCGUAACUAUAACGGUCCUAAGGUAGCGAAAUUCCUUGUCGGGUAAGUUCCGACCCGCACGAAAGGUGUAACGAUUUGGGCACUGUCUCAACCAGAGACUCGGUGAAAUUAUAGUACCUGUGAAGAUGCAGGUUACCCGCGACAGGACGGAAAGACCCCGUGGAGCUUUACUGUAGCCUGAUAUUGAAUUUUGGUACAGUUUGUACAGGAUAGGCGGGAGCCUUUGAAACCGGAGCGCUAGCUUCGGUGGAGGCGCUGGUGGGAUACCGCCCUGACUGUAUUGAAAUUCUAACCUACGGGUCUUAUCGACCCGGGAGACAGUGUCAGGUGGGCAGUUUGACUGGGGCGGUCGCCUCCUAAAGUGUAACGGAGGCGCCCAAAGGUUCCCUCAGAAUGGUUGGAAAUCAUUCGUAGAGUGCAAAGGCAUAAGGGAGCUUGACUGCGAGACCUACAAGUCGAGCAGGGACGAAAGUCGGGCUUAGUGAUCCGGUGGUUCCGCAUGGAAGGGCCAUCGCUCAACGGAUAAAAGCUACCCCGGGGAUAACAGGCUUAUCUCCCCAAGAGUCCACAUCGACGGGGAGGUUUGGCACCUCGAUGUCGGCUCAUCGCAUCCUGGGGCUGUAGUCGGUCCCAAGGGUUGGGCUGUUCGCCAUUAAAGCGGUACGCGAGCUGGGUUCAGAACGUCGUGAGACAGUUCGGUCCCUAUCCGUCGUGGGCGUAGGAAAUUUGAGAGGAGCUGUCCUUAGUACGAGAGGACCGGGAUGGACGCACCGCUGGUGUACCAGUUGUUCUGCCAAGGGCAUAGCUGGGUAGCUAUGUGCGGAAGGGAUAAGUGCUGAAAGCAUCUAAGCAUGAAGCCCCCCUCAAGAUGAGAUUUCCCAUAGCGUAAGCUAGUAAGAUCCCUGAAAGAUGAUCAGGUUGAUAGGUUCGAGGUGGAAGCAUGGUGACAUGUGGAGCUGACGAAUACUAAUAGAUCGAGGACUUAACCAU